GAAGCUGGAAUUGCUAGUAAUGGCAGGUCAGCAUACUGCCGUGAAUACGUUCCCGGGCCUUGUACACACCGCCCGUCACACCAUGAGAGUUGGGAAUACCCGAAGCCUGUGAGCUAACUUAUAGAGGCAGCAGUCGAAGGUAGAAUCAAUGAUUGGGUGAAGUCGUAACAAGGUAGC
rnacentral:rRNA from 1 species